rnacentral:rRNA from 1 species
UACGGGGGGGGCAAACGUUGUUCGGAAUUACUGGGCGUAAAGGGCUCGUAGGCGGCCAACUAAGUCAGACGUGAAAUCCCCAGGCUCAACCUGGGAACUGCGUCUGAUACUGGAUGGCUUGAAUUCGGGAGAGGGAUGCAGAAUUCCAGGUGUAGCGGUGAAAUGCGUAGAUAUCUGGAGGAAUACCGGUGGCGAAGGCGGCAUCCUGGACCGAGAUUGACACUGAUGAGCGAAAGCUAGGGGAGCAAACGGG